AACGAACGCUGGCGGCAGGCUUAACACAUGCAAGUCGAACGCACCUUUCGGGGUGAGUGGCAGACGGGUGAGCAACGCGUGGGAAUCUACCCUUCUCUACGGGAUAGCUCCGGGAAACUGGAAUUAAUACCGUAUACGUCCUGAGGGAGAAAGAUUUAUCGGGGAAGGAUGAGCCCGCGUUGGAUUAGCUAGUUGGUGGGGUAAAGGCCUACCAAGGCGACGAUCCAUAGCUGGUCUAAGAGGAUGAUCAGCCACAUUGGGACUGAGACACGGCCCAAACUCCUACGGGAGGCAGCAGUGGGGAAUAUUGGACAAUGGGCGCAAGCCUGAUCCAGCCAUGCCGCGUGAGUGAUGAAGGCCCUAGGGUUGUAAAGCUCUUUCAGUGGGGACGAUAAUGACGGUACCCACAGAAGGAGCCCCGGCUAACUUCGUG
rnacentral:rRNA from 1 species